AUUUAUGAGAGCAUCUGCAGGGCUGUGGACCACUCUGGCCUCGCUCCCCAGAUACUGGUACCAGCCUGAGGGCGUCUGAGCGGCCCCCGUGUGCCCAGCAGCAACGUGGGGUCCUGCAAAUCCUCGCACUGGCAACAUGAAUGAUUUCACAGUCACAGACACGAUCCUGGCACUUCUUUGAAGGUGCUGAAUUUAGAGGGCAAAGCGCGAUCUGCAUUUUGUACCGAGUCCCAGUCACGGGGACAUGCGGGACAGGCUGCUUGAAACGUGUUAGAGACUUUGUCAGCCCUUCUCCAUGCUGACUGGAUUUUGACAUUGCUGUAUAAUGUCACCACUGUCAUGAACUACUUCUUCACAGCCAGCCGUAUUCCACGGAAAAAGUUUGAAAAGACAUUGCAGGAAAGCAUCUACUCUGUUUUAUUUUUCAUGAGAGGUAAGAUAUUGUGAAAUUUAAAGGGCUCAACAGAUUUUCACAGCUUGGCUUGUGGAAUUCUCUUCCAGCUCCUCUGCAGAUUGUGAUUUCACAGUUUUGCACAUCUGGAUUUUGCCAUCGAAUUAGCAUGGAGGCAGGGUCAGCGGGGCAGCAGCUCUGCUCCUGCCCAGUGAGGACACGAGUUGUCUGUCGCUUGGGAUCUGCUCUCGCCUCCUGGCUCUGUGCAGAGCAGCUGCUCCUUGCCACCCUCACCAGGGCUGGUGGUGUUUGGCCUUGACAUCAGCGAGGAAAGUCCCAGGAAAUCAGCAUUCCCAGGAAAUGGGACUAGAUUGACUAGAUCUAGUCAAUGGGAUUAGAAAGUUGGACUACAUGAUCUCUAGAGGUCCCUUCCAACCUUGAACAUUCUGUGAAAUGCUUCGAUAUCAAAGCUAAAUAAAGAUUUUUGUAUUGUUACCGUGCACAGUGAUAGGCGGACAUUGCAUGGGAUCUGUACUGUGUGUUCCCAGUCAGGAUCUGCUAAACCAGAGCUCAGGUCAGUGAGCGAUCAGGUUGCUGAACGCACCGAGAAUACAGCGUAAGUCACAUCUUUCUUGAAGCGUGCGGAGGGUCAGAUAAGGAUACCUCCUUGAUGGGUGCUACCGAUGAGAGGUCUGGAGCCCCAGAGUUACUCACUCCUGCUCAGGGGAGCAAAUGCUCACACUGG